GUUCCUUAUUGCACAGGGUACUGCAGAGUGCGCUGAUUGCUUUGGUUUGUUGGUUGUUUUAUGGAGUCAAGCUUCCUGCUUACUUUUGCCCACAUUCCGGUUUUCACCUAGGGAUCAAUCUAGGCUACAGAAACUCUGCCCGCAGAGACUCUCCCCGAUAAGGCUCAUCCGCAGUGCUGAUGACGACAGUGGUGGUAAUGAUGAUAUAAUCCCCUGGAAUACUGGAUCCUAUGAACAUGAAAGCAGCAGGGCAAACCUCAUCUGA
rnacentral:lncRNA from 12 species